GAGGUUGCCUCCUUUCCCGGGAAGAAACCGCGGUUUCUUUCUCUUUUGACAACAGGAAAAGCAACCCCUCUGCCUGCUCUUGCUAGUGCCUUCUUCAGUGCUUGCAGAGGGAUGCAGGGCGGGUUCUCGGGGUGCCUUGUUCAGUGGCGUUGCCUUAGAGUUGCCCUCUGGCUUUCGAGACUAUGUUCUGCCGUUAGAAAGAAGCACCAAGGAGCUGUGUAGCAAAAUCUGCGGAGAACUCAACAGUUCUAAAGUGCUUGUGUUCUUAAAGUGAUCAGAGUGGGAGGAAAAGUUGUAUUUUUAAGCAGUCUUGCCAGAUCUCCCUCAACUACUUAAUAUAAAUAACCCUACUGGAAAGAAAGGAGUGAACAGAGUACAAUUCUUGCUCAGUUUGCUUAAUGUUUGUAGCAUACAUCUAGCAAACCUGUAAAGACUGUUAAGACCAUGCAUAUGAGAGGAUGUACAUUUGGGGCAGAACGUUAAGAUGUAGGCUCAGAGCUGAAAAGGGACUUGAUACACCGGAGUGGUACUGGAAAUUAAUUUAAACUUGAGUUCGGAAAAGGGUUGGACUUGAUUUUCUUUCUACUUUUUAGAUGGAGAUUGGUACAUUCUUUAAGAGUUAUUUAAAACUUAUGAUCUUACUGUUCUCUUUGAUCACCUUAAAGGAGACAGUGAAGGAGAGCAGAGAGGCUACCGCUUUUGAGUACCAUCGUGCUGCUGAUGACAAUUUCAGACCCUCAGCUCAGGUUCCUGAGUGCUUCGUCUGAAGGAUCUGGUUUUGGCUGGGUGUCAUGACUCAGUUGUGUCUGCUAACUCGGUGAAAUCAAAACAAAGCAAACCAGAUUAUGAAGUACUUUUAAAUGUUUAACAGUAACUUGCAUGUUCUUUAGUGUAAGAGACCCUGUAAACAAGUGUUUUGGUCUGCCACUUUCUUAUAGCACGCUUUCUGUCCCGCAUCAGCAGUCCUGAUCCUGUACCCUUAUGAAGUGCUUGCUUAAUUUUGACAGAAUCAUUUGGUUGAAAUGAAUAGAUCACUGAAUACCAAAUUUGAUAUUUAAGAAAAAACCAAUCCACACAGUUUUUAGGGGUUAGCACCCGCAUCAAGUAUUUAAAAUUGCUAUGUAUAGAACUCUGUGCCGGGGCAUUCGUCUCGGGACCUGCAGUCUCUGCCCAUAAAAGCUGUAGCAACUUACCACUUCUUUUUAAGCAGAUCCUUUAGCCACUUUCUUGUUACGAAUGAGAAGAACCUUACCUGUUUUAUUUAUUUUAAAAUAUUAUUCUGUAUUACUGCAGGACUGAGGAAGCUUAGACCCAUGCUGCUGGGAGCAGAGUCCCUCCAGAGGCCAAGGUCCCAGUGUAGCAGAUGAAGGUUCUGCUGUAGUGUGAACCUCCUAAAGUGGGGAGAGUUGUUGUGCUUUGGUUGUUCACAGCUUCUAGGUGUCACCUGAAGUAGUCAGCAGACAUCGUAGAGCAGUAUUGGAUCUGAAGAACUGACCAAAGAAUUAUCGAGUUAAAAUGAUUUCCUUCCUGGCAUAAGCGCUCUGUUAGAAAAACGAUUCAGCAGAGUAUUCAGGCCAGUGCAAUAUUAAAAUGAUGUUGUAAAUCAGUCUUUUGUAUUCUGUAAGUACUGCAAGCUAAAUAAUUUUCUUUCCAAGUGGAAGGUUUCAGUAUUAAAAUAACAGAUAGGAAAUGAGAUGAAACCAGAUUCCUGAGUAUGCCAAAUAACUUAGAUGUUGCCUGCUAAAAUUAGCUUGGGUUGCACUUAUUACUCUGGAUUUAUUACUUUGCAGCAUAGUCAAAUAAAGCACAGUGUGUUCAAUUUUGAAACGAGAACAUUUAAUAUGAACUACUAGAUUACUGAAAAAUAAAAAUGUUGCAUGCAAAUCUGGGAAUUCAAGUCAGUUUCUCACUGUGAGUCAAGUUUAAGCUACGUAUAGAAUACAAAAUUAUACCUACGCAGACCAAGCUGUCACUUCUUUGACUUAUUUGAAAACUUAAUGCUCUACUUAUGUUUAAAAUGCAAGGGGAUUUGGGGUGCCCUCGCAAUCUAUCCAUUCCCUGUGCUAGCAACUUCAGCAAUGAAUUUGAAAAGGAUUGCUAAUACUGAAGAACAGUAAACUUAAGAAAACCUAUGCAUCUUUAAUUUUCCAGCAGUCUGGUCUAUGUGUAUUUUCUAUAUGCAUAUAUAUAAGUAAACUGGAGAUACCGAGAAUCCUUAAAUGAGAGGGAAGGGAGGAAGUGACGCAUGAGGUCCAGGACAAGGCAUAAUCUUGAUGUGAGAGGGGUCGUCUGCAGGGCUGGGAUUAACGGGUUUCUACGAGCACUUGUUCAGAGGUGUGCUGAGGGUUUUGGGGAGGCUGAGUUGCAGGGGAACACACAGGAGGAAGGAAGAGCUUCCUAGCAUUUGAUUAGUGAUGGGUUCAUGUUAUCUGAAGCAGCAAAAGAAGAAAAUAAAUGUGAAUUUCUUAGCUUCUCACCAGCCAGACGUGAAGAUCUUGCUUCCUAAGGUUGUUGAGCUGCCUUUUGGGAAAGCACUGAUAGUAGGAGCACUGGGGCAGUGCAUUUACAUGUCUUUCUGGAAGACCUAGAAAAUUCUUAACUGAAAGCAUGUUUGUAUUUCUCUUUGAGUGGGUUUUGAUUAAUUGCUGCUGUGAUGCCAGGGUGGCCUGGGACGCUGGGGUGGCCUCAUAGCUCUUACUGAAGUGUUUGCCCAUGCACAGCCCCUCUCCCCUUGGCAGCUCUGAGUGUUUUGAAGGCAGGUCUGUAAGGAGGCCUGGUAUGCAGGUUAUCACCUCCUUCCCACUUCUGGGUCCCUGGAGCUAGACUUGUGCAAACUGAUUAUUUGUACUGCCAGGUGUAGCUUAGAUCAGAAUUCAUAUUUCUUCUUUCUCCUCUGAGAGGAGUAUUGUAUGGAAGAAAUAUGUGUCCAAGUGUGCAUCUCUGGUUCAAGAAAUGCACACAGUGAAAUCAGGGUUCAAGAAAUGGUGCCUGCUUUGCAGAAACAUGCAGGCUGCUUACUCUGCUUGUUGGAAAGCUGCUAGCUAUUUUUUAUUUUCUGUUCUUUAUUCUCUACCUGUUUUGGUUUUGUUUGGGUUUUUUUGGUUUUUUUUUUUUCUUUCUGGAGAAAGUCAAGAGCAUCAGAGUUGUCCUCUGUUCUUAGUUGCUAAGCCUACCUGAUCUGAAACACGGGAUUUCUAAGUUGAGGGGAGAGAAAUCUGCUGCAAUACCCAAAGGCAUGUGAGCCCCCAAGAAAGUCCUGACACAAGCGUUUAUUCUUUGGCCGGACUGAGCCAAAGGUGUCAGCUGCAAAGAAUACACAGAAGUUUUGCUGGACAAAGCCUGUCCAAGGCUUAGUGCAAGAAUUUAUGGCUAACACUCUUGUUACCAGAGUGGUUAGGUAGUUCUUAAUUUUCUUUAAUACAUCGGUAUGGCCUACAAUAAUUGCAUCCAUGCUUGCAUUGGGAUUUCACUGUUAAAUUUUGCUGGCUUGAGCUUUCCGUAGAAAGAGAGUCCUGAUAGCCUCUGUUUGGCAGCUUGGCCACGCAGACCCCAGUCUGGCAGUUCUCUAGAACAGGUAAAGUUUCACAGAAGGAAAGGCAUGGAAAGCUCUAAGUUUUAUUGAAAAAAUUUCUCAGGUUUCUUAGGUAGGGAUGCUGUCCGCUUCCUGUGUCUUCUGGGGGAAUGGAUACCACUGCAGGUCUAAACCCUGCAAACCAGGAGUUAAAAGGGCACCUGCAAAUUUUUUUACCCCUCUCCUUGACUUUCAUUUUACUGGGAAGCGCAGGUCUCAGUCCAGCAUGUCCUUCGUUUGGAAACAGUCUCUUUUAUGGCCCAGGAGGUCUGGUUGCUUCAGGACAGAUCCAGACGUGCAGAUGUGUUGCUCUGUGUCCGAAGUGUCCUUAAUACAUAUACAGAAAUGAAAGAGGUGCCUGGGAGCGUUAAAACAAUCUUUGGGAAGUUUCCCAGCUCCAUUAGAUUUAAUGGCAGUGUCCUACUUAGCAAAUCUUGCCUCAACAUUAGUAUUUCAGAGACUUUUAAUAGCAGUUCCUUCAUUCCCUUGGCAAUAUGGGAAGUUUCAGUUGUGCAUUCUUAUUACAUGGCCCAGAUUACUAUAAUGUUUAAAAUAAAAUAAAAAAAAAAAGUCUUUUCAAAGCAUCAGUCAAAUAUGAAGUUCUGACAUAAUUGCAUAGUGCUUUUCCGUUAGAAAUCUAAAUUAAUCUUGUAUAUAGAGGGAAAUGUAUUAUUUGUGUUAGUCAUAUAUAUUUCAUUCUGUGGGAAGUGUAAUUUGCAUUGUGAAGUUUGGAAUUGGCUUAUUGGAUCUUGUUCCAGUGAAUUAUUCUUAAUCUUUAUGCUUCAUUGCAUUCUCCUCCUCCAUUGCCCUUCUAUCCUCCCAAAAACUUUCCACUGAUGGUGCUUAGAGCUCUGAGAAUUCAGCACUGUGACUUUCAUAGUAACCAACACUUAUUUUAAGAAUAGCAUGAUGAAACGAGUAACUUUGCUGCUAUUCUCUUGUCUUUGACAUUGUACAAAACUGUCAAGGUCAAUAAUUUCCAUGUAGGCUCCCAGUGUUAGGGGCUGUUCUUAAUUAGAUCUUGUUUUAUUACUACGUGAUCAACUGAAUUGUCUGGAAAAUUCCUUAGACUGCUUGUUUCAAAAUCACCCUUUUUAUACUCAUUUUUAACCCAUAGUUUCCUCCUGUUUUUGUUUUUCUUGUGUAAAUAUCUUUUGGCCUCUUGGCCACUUCAUUUAAUACUUCCCAGUGGCUGCUGAUACUAAUUUAGCUAGUUUUCUCUAGUUUGUUCCCAUGUAAACUGUUGACAUAUUGACUCAGAACAGAAAUUUCACAGCAAAGAGAGGAAACUAAUCUUGAAAUAUUAUUAGUAUGUUUUCCAGAGAAAUUAACAAAAGCUAUAGCCAUGUGCACUGUUUGGUUCACUAAUAAAAGUGUGAUAAUAAAAUACCUUUGGUAAAGAAUCUUAAUGAUGCCUCUGUAUGUCACUGACAGCUACAGAUACUGCUGCUAGAGAUCACUGAUAGAUACGCGUGUCUUGACGUGUAUAUAACUGGCCUUGCAGAGGCAAAUUGUAUCUGCCAUUCUGUUUACCUAGGUCAUAUUUAAUACAGUGACAUUUUGAACAAUUACCUCUUUUAUUAGUUGCCAUACGUGUGAAAAGCAAAGCAAAUAGAUUUUUGCUUUAGCCCUUCACGUUUGAUAAAGCAAUUUCUUCCCAUGAGCAGAUUCUCAUAAAUUGUAGGGCAGUUCACCAUGAACAAAUAAACAUCUUCAAUGAACAGUGUAAUUGCAUCCUUAGUUAAUGACUUUUGCAAGGAGGUGUUGCAUAAUGUAAGAUGAAAUGAAAUAAAACCUAGUAACUUUAAAAAGGCCAGAUGAAAACCAGCCACAUACUGUUUUAUUGUAUUGUCUUAGAUUCACACACAGUGGAAAGUUUCAGUGAAGGAAUGUAAGAAAUUCUUUCAUUAUUUUGCACGGAUGGUUGUGGGAGCAGCUGUCUGGUUGUUUGUGCACAUAGUUUGUGUUGGAGCUGUGCUCGAUUUCUUACUUUGUCUUUUACUCAGAUUACAGAUUUGUCACUACCCAACUACCUGAUGGCUUCUUCAGUUGGGCUUCUUCCUACUCAGCUCCUGAACUCAUACUUGGGCACUACCUUGCGCACCAUGGAGGAUGUGAUUGCAGAACAAAGUGUUAGUGGCUACUUUAUAUUCAGUUUACAGAUUGUCAUAAGCAUAGGACUCAUGUUUUAUGUUGUUCACCGAGCUCAAAUGGAACUGAAUGCAGCUAUUGUAGCCUGUGAAAUGGAAAUGAAGACAUCGCUUGUUAAAGACAGUCAACCGAGCAUCACUGGUUCAACCACAUACUGCAACAAAAGGACAGUAGCAUUCUCUGGAGGAGGUGUCAAUAUUGUGUGAUUUCAAGUAUUAAUAUUAAGGUUUUGUGAACCUAAGCUGUUGCCUAGAAAUAUCUAUGGACAAUUCAACUAGUUUUAAAAAAAAAUUACAAGUGGUUACAGGUUGUACUGUGGCACAAACCAACCGACCAGCUCUUCAGUUGCACACGGGGUGACUUCUAGCAAGAAAAGAAAGAUGGUGAAGUAACUUAAGAUGUAAAUGCAAAUUCAGCUGCACCUUUGGUCAUUUAUUAUGCCUGUCAUGGCCUGUAGUCUGCACUUUAGGUUUUUUUCCUUUGCUUCUAUAAACUGAGAAAUGCUUCUAUAAACUGAGAAAAGUAGCACAGAGGUAAAUAUUUUUCUGCUUAGCAUUAUUUAUAAGGCUGAAUAAUUAUAUGCAGUAGAAUUUUAUUACUGAUAAAGAUGAAUGAGAAAGUAUGCAAUUCAAUGUAUGUUAUUCUUGAAUGUGCUUUUGCUUUGGAAUUGCUUCCAGAACUUGGAGUGUAUUAUUUAGCUAAUGAUGGGACCAUUUGGCUUUUCCUUCAUUUUUGUUUUUUUAAAGAAAAAAAAAGAGCCCGAUAAAAAGUUUGGUUGAAUGUAUUUUUGUAAGUCAUUAAAAAUGUUGCGGAGCCAUGCACAUGUAUUCACACAAGCUUAAAUCCUACAUUGUGGGACUGAAGUGCUCUUAAAUAACAUUUUAAGUUACACUGUGUAAUAUGCAAAGUAAAAGGGAAAAUACAGAAGUUAUAAUAGAUUGCAGUGACUCUUUGAAGGAGACGUCAUGACUUAACUCUUGCAUUGGUUUUGCCACCUUGGUGAUUGUAACAAAGGGCUGUUCCACGUUAGUCCUAUUUAUAAUAUUUUUAAUUGUUAAAAGGUUGGAGUUUUUCAACUCACAUGACUGCAUGUGGUAAGGCUUCCAGAACAGGGAGCUAAAUCUCUCCUGUAAACAAAAAGAUGGCAUACUGGCAGUACUAACUUUACAUGAAGGUGGCCUUUAUUUUGUAAGUGAAUCUCCCCUCCCUUUAAAAAGCUUUAAAAAUUCACUUUGGUUGGCAUGUUUUUUUCUGAAAGUUUUACAUUUUUUAAAAGAUGCAAUCUAUUAUAAAUUUCAUCAGAGUGAAGAAAUGAAAACUAGAGGUUCUCCUUGGAAAAAUAAAUAGUCCAGUAGUGGAGGAGGACAGUAAUGUCUUUGAGACUCAGGAAUUCUGACUCCAUUUUUGCAAGACAACACUGUAUUGGAUAACACUCCUUUUACAUGUGCUGUGGACUGUUUUUCACUGCAUUUGAAUAGACUGGAUAACCUGCUAGCAACUUGUGUGUGUGUGUAAAAGGAAAACAAUAAUGCCUGAACACAAUGUCUUGUAUGUGCGAGUUUCAUGUAGAUACACGUACCAAUGUUCAAUCGCUCCAACAUGCGCAAGUCAUCUGAUACAAAAAUAAUGUAAUAUAUUGCUUAUUUUGUAGUUAUUUUAUGUAAGUUUUUAAGGAUGCUUUCAGUCUUCAAGCUUUUAUGUUAUUUUCUAACAGUAUGAAUGUGCCUCCUUUUUGUAAGGCUGUUUGUUGGGUUCAACCAUUCUUGUCUUGUUGAGAAUAGCAGGACUUCGAGGCUGUUGGGAAGCAGAGAUUUGAUAGCCUCUGACAGUCUUGCUGUGAGGAUGUACAGGACUCGCAUAGCGUGACAUCUACGCAUUCCUUGGUAGUGAAAAUUCAAUUUUGUUCUUUAAAUAUGUAUCCUUUGCAGACUGCUUUUCUUGGGUCUCGUGACCUAAGGAACUGAACUAGUUAAAUGAAACAACAGAGUUCAGAUUGCCGCCUUUUUGUUGUUUUGGAGCUUGUUUUUUGUUUGUUUGGUUUGUUUUUGAAAAGGCAAUCUGUAUAUACCUGGGAGUGUUCAUUUACACAUCUCUGCCUCUGACAGCUCCUGUGUGAAAACAAGAGAGCCAGAUAACUUUUUGAUGACGUUAUUUGUCAUCAUAGUAUAAUCGAGCCCUUUCUUAACUAAAGGUUUUUUAUUUUUUUUGUUUCUUGGAAAGAA